AGUGAACGCUGGCGGUAGGCCUAACACAUGCAAGUCGAACGGCAGCACAGUAAGAGCUUGCUCUUACGGGUGGCGAGUGGCGGACGGGUGAGGAAUACAUCGGAAUCUACUUUUUCGUGGGGAUAACGUAGGGAAACUUACGCUAAUACCGCAUACGACCUACGGGUGAAAGCAGGGGAUCUUCGGACCUUGCGCGAUUGAAUGAGCCGAUGUCGGAUUAGCUAGUUGGCGGGGUAAAGGCCCACCGAGGCGACGAUCCGUAGCUGGUCUGAGAGGAUGAUCAGCCACACUGGAACUGAGACACGGUCCAGACUCCUACGGGAGGCAGCAGUGGGGAAUAUUGGACAAUGGGCGCAAGCCUGAUCCAGCCAUACCGCGUGGGUGAAGAAGGCCUUCGGGUUGUAAAGCCCUUUUGUUGGGAAAGAAAAGCAGCAGGUUAAUACCCCGCUGUUCUGACGGUACCCAAAGAAUAAGCACCGGCUAACUUCGUG
rnacentral:rRNA from 1 species